GUGCGGAGAAGAAGAAGAAGAAAUGAAGAAAAACGAAGCUUCAAAUACAGUAUUUGUUCAAGAACUAAGUUCUACAGUUUGGCCAAGUUAACUAGCGGUAAUUUUAAGAGUUGCUAUAACUACCUGGGCAACGUGAGUAGUCGUUCGAGUGGAAUUGAGGUCAGUUAAAUGGUGUUACAUAAUUAGCGCAACACAAGGCCUGCUAUUAGCAAUUAGCUUUGCUUCGUUCGCCGGGGACGACAAAGUGCGUGUAUGGUCUUCUACCGAGCUUCCGAUGUGCUUCGGUGUGCCUGGGAUAGAAGUGCUCAGGACUUGUCGUCAAGGGAAGGCCUCCAUGGGCACGUGACCCAAGCGAGGAUUUUCUUCAGUGCUCAGCUAACUGCUUAACAGAGGGUUUGAAUUGGCCGUGACGAGCAACUACAUGACCAAACCGUGACCACCGUCUCCUGUAUUGGACCGAACAAGAUGUUGAUGUUUAAAAAAAAAAAAAAAAAAAAAGGAAGGAGGAAAAUAUGAAAGGCAGAAAGUUAGCAGGGGCCAAAGCCACAAGCAACAUGGAGAGGAUCGACAUUUAAAGCGCACAAUGCAACUUCACUUCAUAUUACUGACAGUGUAAAUGACGCCUAAUGAAAAGAUCCUGGCAGGUUUGAC